AUGAAACAUCGAGGUUGGGAGGGGAAUCCCAAAUGUUCCUUUUGUGGUGGACGUGAGACCGCACAACACUUGUUCUUCGCUUUCCCUGUUGCCAGGGUGACCUGGAGGACAGUGGCGUGCAUGUUUGGCACUGCCCUGUGCCCUGAUAACAUUUGGCAAGCCUAUGUGUGGUGUUUUACGUUCUUCUCUGGCGAAGAAAAGUUUUACAUAGCAGGGAUUGCUGCUGCGUGCUGGGCGAUCUGGUCAUGUCGUAAUAGAGUUACCUUCGAGUUCAAACCGCUUACAAACCCUUUUGAAGUAUUUUUUUCUGCCUGUGCUUUAAUGUGCUACUGGGAAGGAAUGAUGAAGCAAGAUGACGCGACUACCAUGAGGGGCAGCGCGAAGAUGUUGAAGGAGAACACGUCGAUGAUGAUGAGAAUCUGUGUGGCGAACCACGAUGAAUCGGCAUGCUGA
rnacentral:rRNA from 1 species